rnacentral:misc_RNA from 1 species
GCGCUUUGCCCGUCAGCGCUUGGAGCUUUCUGCGUCGCUUCCCGCUGCGCCUGCGCGGUCCCGCCUCGCCCCACGCGCGGGCUCGCGCUUCGGUUUCCCCAGACCUGCUCGCAGCACCCUGCUGUCUUCCCGGUCCGGCCCGCUGCCCGCGGCGCCAGCACCAUGCAUCUGUGGAACCCUCCAUUCUGUGGAUCAGUAUCUCAACAUCAAACUAACUGACAUCAGUGUCACAGACCCUGAGAAAUACCCUCACAUGUUAUCAGUGAAGAACUGCUUCAUUCGGGGCUCAGUGGUCCGAUACGUGCAGCUGCCAGCAGAUGAGGUCGACACACAGUUGCUACAGGAUGCGGCAAGGAAGGAAGCCCUGCAGCAGAAACAGUGAUGGCUCCUCCUCCUCUUCCCCUCCCUCUUUCAUUGGUGACCCAUAACCCCAAGUCCCAGCCCAGAACCCCUAACCCCCAAUACUUGAAGGGGUUUUGUUUUUUUACUAAUGAUGGUUUUGUGGGUUUUUUUUAAGGGAUGAGUGGAUGAGAGGAGUAAUAGGGAACAGCUAUCCUCUCUUGAGAAGGGGAGGAUAAGUAGGCUGGGAAACUUCAAAGCCUUCCCAGUCCCCAGCACCUGCCUUUCUCACUACUUCUCUGGAGAUGGUAGGAGAGUUUCCUAGGUCUUUCCAGGGCAGCAUGUGAUUCAUUUGGGGAUGGAAGGAAUCUGUCCCGCAUCGGGAAUAAAAUUUAUGAUGCAAA